rnacentral:rRNA from 1 species
GAUGAACGCUAGCGGCAGGCUUAAUACAUGCAAGUUGAGGGGCAGCAUGAUAUACGCGAGUAUAUUGAUGGCGACCGGCGGACGGGUGAGUAAUAGGUAGGAGACCUACCUCAUACAGGGGGAUAGCAUAGAGAAAUCUGUGGUAAUACCCCAUGAGGUUAUAUGAAUAGAGGCAUAUAAUCAAAGCAUAAGCGAUUAUGCGGUAUGAGAGGGGCCUACUGACCAUUAGCUAGUUGGUGAGGUAAGGGCUCACCAAGGCGAAGAUGGUUAGGGGUUUUGAGAGAGAGACCCCCCACAUUGGAACUGAGAGACGGUCCAGACUCCUACGGGAGGCAGCAGUAGGGAAUAUUGGGCAAUGGGCGAAAGCCUGACCCAGCCAUGCCGCGUGAAGGAAGACGGCCUUAUGGGUUGUAAACUUCUUUACUACGCGAAUAGAGGUUAGUACGAGAUACUAAUAGGAAGGUAGUGUAGUAAAAAGCAACCGGCUAAC